UCGGAUAAAUAUUACAAAGUUAUAUUACAUAUGACAUACAUGAAUAAUUAAUAAGAGAAUACAUUCUUGGAUUGUAAAGAAUUCAGGAAAGACAACCUAAACUAAAUUAUCUAUUCUUCCUAUACUAUCAUAUCUAAGAUCUUGAUUUUAAUCUUGAUCUUCUUCUUCUUUUCUUCAAAACCCGCAACCAUAAACACUAGAGGGAGUGGGUUAGGAUUAGUAUGUAGCAUAUAUCCUGUCAAGUGACAGUAGAUAUAAGCCACUGUUCAGCCUCAGAAUAAAGCCAGGAGUAGAUAUAGAUCAAACCCACCCGACCAGGACCAAGUAACCAAGCAAUUAGCCACCCAGCAACUUACAAGAUAGGCAUCAAGGAGAGCUUGACAACAGCAAGCAGCUGCUGUCAACACCACCAGCACCAGAGAUUCACGCAAGGACAACACUAGCAGCACACACAACAAGCACACAGCUGAGUCACCCGUCCAGAGCACUAUAAAUAGAGCAACCCAGCCGUAGUGAGAGUUUGAUAGCCACUGGUACAACUGAACCAAACAGGAGUUGGACCAAACCCAAACCUGAGAAUUAGUGUGAAACAGCAAGGAGGUGCAGGCUAACCACAAGAAGGAUAACCAGAGCCUCAAGACCAAGCUACUCAGCACCAGAGGUAGGAUUGGAGUGAUGGAAUCCUCAGGCGUGCACAGAAAUGCUGUGUCAUGCAUCACAGGAUUUGUAGGAGUUCUUGGAGCCACAAAAAUAACUUUAGAACCCAGAGAGGCCUCAGACCAGCAUCAUAGGCAAUAAGAUCAGGCAACAUAUGUUCUUAUCAGUUUAAUAGAAGAGAGAGGGAUAGAGAAAUAGACAAGAAAGCAGAAUAUAGCCAAGACAAGCAAUAUCUGUUCUUAAGUAGAGUAAAGAUAGCAUAGAAGAAAUAGACAGGGUAGCACCCAACUGAAUAUCUGCUUCUGCAGAACACUGCACUCCACUUACACAUGGUAUUUUUCUGCAAAUAGGACACCACAUCCACCAGCACAUGGGCUAGUAUCAUUAGCAGUGCUGCUGUAAGUAUAUAUAAUGUUGGCAAAUUCUAGCCUAUCUCUCUCACCUCACCUCGGUCUUUCUCUGAAACUCAGGUGGCAGGAAGAACAGGGAGGUUUUGCGCCGCGUGAACUUGCGACUUUUCUGAUUUUCAUUCCUCUCUACUUAUUCAGAGUACAGCAACAGAAACAGGGUCGUGGCCCCCUAACUACGCGCCACCACAGAUCGUGAUGCUCGUGCCAUCCCACGAGCGAUCGGUGAGGGCGCCAGAAACGCUCCACGCACUAACUGACUCGAGCUAAACUCGCUAACAGAAACCUGAAGCUACUGACGAAACUGAAGAAAAGACUGAAACUGACGAAACUGAAAACCAAAAACACUAGCUACUGCAGACUUGGGUUUAUUCAACAAUCACCCCCUAAAUCCUAGUCUGCUUACUUUAUUUUCUUCAUUCCAAUCUUCUCUCUCAGCUGGAUGAACCUGACCCGUCCCAGGGGCUUCGUCAAAAUGUCAGCCAACUGAUCUUCAGUUCGGAUGUAAUCAACUGUCAUCCUUCCAUCCUCCACACAUUCCCUGAUGAAAUGAUACCGCACAUCUAUGUGCUUACUUCUGUCGUGGAGAACCGGAUUCUUGCAGAGAGCUAUGGCAGAUUUGUUGUCCACCAGAAGCAGUGGCACCUGAAGUUCUUCACCUGUGAUUUCUGCAAGCAGACGCGCCACCCACACGCCCUGACAUGCGGCCGUUAUUGCUGCAAUGAACUCAGCUUCACAUGAUGAAAGGGCCACCACUUUCUGUUUCUGCGACAGCCAGCUGACAGGGCUAUCACCGAGGAAAAAGACUCCCCCGGACGUGCUCUUGCGAUCAUCGAUGUCGCCCGCCAUGUCGCUGUCGCUGUACCCGACGAGCCUGGCUCCGUUGGCUCGCCGGCGAGGAAAAUGACACCCCAGAUCACGAGUGCCGGCCACGUACCUGACGAUGUGCUGAACAGCAGUCAAGUGCUCGACCGUGGGCGCUUCCAUGAAACGGCUCACGUAGCUCACCGCGAAGGUGAUAUCUGGCCGGGAGUGGGUGAGGUAGCGCAACGUCCCCACCAUGCUCCUGUACUCCGUAGCGUCCGUCGAAGCCGCUGUGCUUGCCUUGCUCAGCUUCAGACGCGCUUCCAUGGGUGUCUGACGUGCAUUACACCCCAUCAGCCCCGCCUUCUCAAUGAUCUUGUCAACGUACGCGCUCUGCGCAAUGGUCACACCAUCCACAUCCUGGCGCACUUCAAUGCCUAGGUAGUAGGAGAGCAACCCGAGAUCGCUCAUCCUAAACUUGCCCUUCAUCGCCGUCUUGAAAUUGUCGAUCUCCGUGGCGUCGGCCCCGGUGAUCACCAGGUCAUCCACGUACACCCCCAGAAGAAGGAGCUCGCGGCCUGACCCGCGUGCGUAGACGGCGUGCUCGGAGUUGCAGCGACGGAAACCCAUGUCAACGAGCGUGGUGUCAAGCUUGGCGUUCCAAGCGCGAGGUGCCUGGUGGAGACCAUACAGCGCCUUGUGCAGCUUCAGUACCUUGCGCCUGUGGUCGUCGACGACGAAACCCGGCGGCUGCUCGACGUAGACCUCCUCCUUCAGCUCGCCAUUGAGGAAAGCCGAUUUGACAUCCAUGUGAUGGAUCGGCCAUCCCCCGUGCGUUGCGAGUGCUAGCAGAAGGCGCACGGACUCCAGUCGAGCUACUGGGGCAAAAACCUCGUCGAAGUCGAUGCCAGGCUUCUGCACAAAUCCCUUGGCGACGAGGCGAGCUUUGUACUUGACGAUUUCUCCGGCCGAGUCCUUCUUGACGCGGAACACCCACUUUACCCCGAUGGCCUGGUGUCCAGCGGGCAGAUCAGUGAGCUCCCACGUGUUGUUUUCCUCGGUCAAGUUUACCUCCUCGAUCAUCGCUCUGCGCCAGCUUGGAUCGAGCUCCGCUUCUUUGAAUGUACUUGGUUCUUCAGCAGAGGCGAUCAGCAGUUUUUUGUCUGGCUGAACGGCGCCAUAGUGGAGCCCGAGAACGUCAGACACACGGCGAAAGUGAUGAGCUACGCGCGCGUCGUCAUCGGCGUCCAGCACUGGGCUCCCGGAGGGUGGUGUCACGAACUCCAAACCCCCUGGAGUGGCGGCUGCAGCAGGGGUUUGUGGUGCCUCGGUCGCCGAUUCCGGGCUGCUGACAGACACGGCCGUGUCCGGACUGCUGACAGGUGCGGGUGUGUUCACUUCAGAGCGUGAUCUGCCGCUGCAAGUUUCCGCGGAGCCGGCGGUGUCUGAGGUUCUGCUUCUUCUUCUCCGCCACUCUGAGCCAUCUGCACCUUGUAAGCUGGAUAAGGUACAGUGAACGACUCACCCACUGUUGCCGGAGUGCCAUGAGAGGAGUCCUCCCAGUUCCAUCGUGAUGACUCGUCGAAGACAGCAUCCCGCAUGAUCUGGACACGCUUGGUCGCCGGGUUGUAGGCGCGGUACGCUUUGCCGCCCUCUUCAUACCCGACGAAAACCAUCGGAGUGGAGCGGUCCUCGAGCUUGCUCUGGUGCGGUUUCACCGUCUUGACAUGAACCACGCACCCAAAGGUGCGCAGGAAGUGCACCGGAGGUCGAUCACCGUGCCACGCCUCGUACGGGGUCAUGCCGACCACGGAGCGCGUCGGCGACCUGUUCAGGAUGAACACGGCAGUGGUGACUGCCUCCCCCCAGAACUCUCCUGGCAUGGAUGCGACCUUCAUCAUGCUCCUGGCCAUGGCCACCACCGUCUGGUUACGGCGCUCCACAACGCCGUUUUGUUGAGGAGUACGGCACCGUGAGCUGCCGCUGCACCCCUCGGUCUGCACAGUAGUCGCUGAAGUCGACGGAGGUGAACUCGCCGCCGCAGUCCGUCCGCAGUGCGCGCAGCCUGCGCCCUGUCUCUGUCUCCACGCGCGCCUGGAACCGCGCGAUCGCCCCCGCGGCCUCGUCCUUGGACCGAAGCACUGACAGCCACAUGUACCUGGACAUGUCGUCGACGAGGAGGAAGUAGCGCCGCCCACCAGCCGUGGCGGGCGUGAUGGGCCCGCAAAGAUCGCCGUGCACCAGCUCCAGGAUCUGCUCCGCUCUGUAGUUCGCCUCUGCGGGAAACGAGGCACACCUCUGCUUGCCGGCGAGGCACCCGUCACACACCUGGUCGAUGUGGUCAAUGGAGGGCAGCCCGCGCACCAGUCCUUGCUGGGCGAGCUUGCGAAGCGCCUGGAAGUUGAGGUGGCCGUAUCUUGCAUGCCACUUCCACGCCUCGUCCGUUGCGCACCGUGCGGCCAGACAGACGGGGCGCGCGAGCUGGAGCGCGUAUGGGUACAGCCGGUUGCCGGCGCGCUGCACCUUUGCCAUGAUUCGACGCUGCUGGUCGUAGAGGGUGAAGACGCCGUGCUCUAUCUCCGACCUGCACCCGGUUUGGUCGAGUUGCCCGAUGCUGAUGAUGUUGCUCUUCAGCCGCGGGAUGAAGUAGACACCGCUCAGGACGCGGUGGCCGCCGGCGUGGUCGGUGAAGAGCACACUUCCGCGCCCUCGAAUGUCGACGACCGAUCUGUCUCCGAACUUGACGGUGCCGGUGACGUGACGGUCGAGCUCACUGAACGAGGCUUCCUCGCCGGACAUAUGGUUGUUGGCCCCUGUGUCCAAGUACCAGACGCCGGAGUGAGCGUCCGUGGCCAGGCCCAGAUGAGCUUCCACGCGCUCUUCGACCAGGUCGACGUGUCCGUCACGAUCGCUUGGAACCGCGGACAGAUCACACACCUACGCCAUGAGGAGGUGCGUGGGAUCGGCGUCGUCCCCGCCGUGCCCUUGGGCGAGAAGGGCCUUCGCCUCCUCGUCGCGCUUCUUCUUCCUGCAGUCACGGGCCCAGUGGCCGCUGAUGCCGCAGUAGCGACACUUGUCGCGAUCGUCGUCGUUGCCGGUGCCACCGGCGUUUCCUCUGCCAGCACCCCCGUUCUGGCCGCGUCCGCCGCCACCGCCGCGGCGCCCACGGCCCCUUCCACGCCGGCCUCGAGACGAGCCGGAGCCCGAGCCACCAGCGUGAGAAUCGCCGUUCUUGAGACGGGCGUUCCACUCCUCUUCAGUGAGAAGCAGGCUCCCCACGCUAUCAGUGCUCUGUUGCAGCUCAUGGCGUUCCUCCGCCGCUUUCAGUCUCCCAGUCAGCUCCUCAACAGAGAGCUGAUCGAGAUCGACAAGAGUUUCGAUCGAGAGAGCGAUCUGCGAAAACUGUUUGGGGACUACUGACAGAAAUUUUCUCACAACUCGUUUUUCAAGGAUGUUUUCACCGAGCUGUGCCAUCUGCCCCACCAUCGCGGUGAGACGCAUUGCGAAGUCGUCCACCGACUCGCCGUCGGCGAACUUGAUGUCGCCGUACCGCCUGGUGAGCGUCGCGAGUUUUGCCUCCCGCACCCGCGCCACACCAAGCCGCAUCAUCUUCAGAGAGUCCCACGCCUCCUUCGCCGUCGCCUUGGCGGCGAGCGUGGGUCCCAUCUCCGGCGGCACGCCGCGCAUGAUCGCCUCGAGCGCCAAACGAUCCUCGCUGCGCUCGGCGGUGCCCGUCUGGACGGCGUCCCAGAGAUACCGUCCCUCCAUCAUGACCUGCAUCAGGACAGCCCAGUCGGUGUAGUUGGAUCGGGUCAGCUGCGGCCACGCCGCACCGCCGAUGUCGCGCGCCAUCCGCUCUGUGGAUCUCUCGGCCACGGCAAGCUCGUUGCCGUCGGAGACCCGUGCCCGCGGAGUGGCCGGCGACUUGCCGCCACCGGAGUCGUCUGGACCUGCCAUCUCCAAGACCAGAACAGGGCUCUGAUGCCAAUUGUUGGCAAAUUCUAGCCUAUCUCUCUCACCUCACCUCGGUCUUUCUCUGAAACUCAGGUGGCAGGAAGAACAGGGAGGUUUUGC
rnacentral:lncRNA from 1 species